UACGUAGGUGGCAAGCGUUGUCCGGAUUUACUGGGCGUAAAGAGCGCGCAGGCGGUCGUUCAAGUCGCGUGUGAAAGCCCCCGGCUCAACUGGGGAGGGUCACGCGAUACUGAUCGACUCGAAGGCAGGAGAGGGUAGUGGAAUUCCCAGUGUAGCGGUGAAAUGCGUAGAUAUUGGGAGGAACACCAGUGGCGAAGGCGGCUCACUGGACCGGAACUGACGCUGAGGCGCGAAAGCGUGGGGAGCAAACAGG
rnacentral:rRNA from 1 species